rnacentral:rRNA from 1 species
CUUCUCUUGUUUUAAAUAUGAGGUAUAACCUGCUCAAUGAAUUUUAAAUGGCCGCGGUAUACUGACCGUGCAAAGGUAGCAUAAUCAUUAGUCCUUUAAUUGUGGGCUGGAAUGAAUGGUUGGACGAGAUAACAACUUUCUUAAAUUUAUGAUUUUGAAUUUAAUUAUUGUGUUAAAAAGCAUCAAUUUUUUUUUGGGACGAGAAGACCCUAUAGAGUUUAAUAUUUAAUUUGUUUUUAAGUAUUUGUUGACUUUAAAAUUAAAUUAAUUAUUUUGUUGGGGUGAUGUGAGGAUAAAAUUAACUCUUUAUGAUAAUUGUUUAUUAAUUAAUAUUUUUUUGAUCCAUUUUUAGUGAUUGAAAGACUAAAUUACCUUAGGGAUAACAGCGUAAUCUUUUUUGAGAGUUCUUAUCAACAAAUAAGGAUUGCGA